rnacentral:rRNA from 1 species
GUGAACGCUGGCGGUAGGCCUAACACAUGCAAGUCGCACGGCAGCACAGUAAGAGCUUGCUCUUACGGGUGGCGAGUGGCGGACGGGUGAGGAAUACAUCGGAAUCUACUUUUUCGUGGGGGAUAACGUAGGGAAACUUACGCUAAUACCGCAUACGACCUACGGGUGAAAGCAGGGGAUCUUCGGACCUUGCGCGAUUGAAUGAGCCGAUGUCGGAUUAGCUAGUUGGCGGGGUAAAGGCCCACCAAGGCGGCGAUCCGUAGCUGGUCUGAGAGGAUGAUCAGCCACACUGGAACUGAGACACGGUCCAGACUCCUACGGGAGGCAGCAGUGGGGAAUAUUGGACAAUGGGCGCAAGCCUGAUCCAGCCAUACCGCGUGGGUGAAGAAGGCCUUCGGGUUGUAAAGCCCUUUUGUUGGGAAAGAAAAGCAGCAGGUUAAUACCCCGCUGUUCUGACGGUACCCAAAGAAUAAGCACCGGCUAACUUCGUG